rnacentral:rRNA from 1 species
UACGUAGGCAGCAAGCGUUGUUCGGAGUUACUGGGCGUAAAGCGUGCGCAGGCGGUUAUGUAAGACAGUUGUGAAAUCCCCGGGCUCAACCUGGGAACUGCAUCUGUGACUGCAUAGCUAGAGUACGGUAGAGGGGGAUGGAAUUCCGCGUGUAGCAGUGAAAUGCGUAGAUAUGCGGAGGAACACCGAUGGCGAAGGCAAUCCCCUGGACCUGUACUGACGCUCAUGCACGAAAGCGUGGGGAGCAAACAGG